GAAUUAAUGCAGGCACGAUGUCUGCCCAAGGAGGUGCUAGAUGGACAUCUCACACCUGUACCGUGUGCUUUGAGAAUUCAAGUUUAUUUCAUUCAAGAUGGCAGCAUAUGUGGUUGCUCUGUGGACACUUCCAUCUGCUGAUUACUUUUACCAUUUGCGUGUAAGGCCUCUCUAUGCUGACACCUGCUAUGUACUUAACCGUGACCCUGCUAAAUUUUUGCCUGUUAAUUGCUGAUGGCCAGUUAACUUUUUCGACCUAGUUGAUGGAAGGUAAUCUGUGAUGUCACCUGUUGUCGUUUGGUAGAUGUAGAACAGUUGGUAUCAUUGAUUAGUCGUGUAUGAUCUGGUUUCUUAUUUUGGUGGAUUUAUUGGUGCACAUGG
rnacentral:lncRNA from 1 species